rnacentral:rRNA from 1 species
UACGGAGGGGGCUAGCGUUGUUCGGAAUUAUUGGGCGUAAAGCGCACGUAGGCGGUUUGUUAUGUCGGAUGUGAAAGCCCUUGGCUCAACUGAGGAAGUGCAUCCGAAACUGGCAAGCUAGAGUAUGUAAGAGGGUCGCGGAAUUCCCGGUGUAGAGGUGAAAUUCGUAGAUAUCGGGAGGAACACCGGUGGCGAAGGCGGCGACCUGGGACAAUACUGACGCUGAGGUGCGAAAGCGUGGGGAGCAAACAGG